rnacentral:rRNA from 1 species
UACGUAGGGUCCGAGCGUUGUCCGGAAUUAUUGGGCGUAAAGGGCUCGUAGGCGGUCCGUCACGUCGGGAGUGAAAACUCAGGGCUCAACCCUGAGCGUGCUUCCGAUACGGGCGGACUAGAGGUAUGCAGGGGAGAACGGAAUUCCUGGUGUAGCGGUGGAAUGCGCAGAUAUCAGGAGGAACACCGGUGGCGAAGGCGGGUCUCUGGGCCGAUACUGACGCUGAGGAGCGAAAGCGUGGGGAGCGAACAGG